UACAGAGGUCUCAAGCGUUGUUCGGAUUCAUUGGGCGUAAAGGGUGCGUAGGCGGCGCGGUAAGUCGGGUGUGAAAUCUCGGAGCUUAACUCCGAAACUGCAUUCGAUACUGCCGUGCUUGAGGACUGGAGAGGAGACUGGAAUUUACGGUGUAGCGGUGAAAUGCGUAGAUAUCGUAAGGAAGACCAGUGGCGAAGGCGGGUCACUGGACCGGUAUUGACGCUGAGGAGCGAAAGUGUGGGGAGCGAACAGG
rnacentral:rRNA from 1 species